ACGGCAGAGGCACCUUCAUCCCCGAUGGCGUUCUCCUGCAGACUGAACACAGGGCCCGGGCCCUCGUGUGAGGUGCCAAGCUUGGGCCUUCUAGGCCUGAGACCACACGCACAGUAGUCAGCCGCGUUCCCAGGGCCACCCCCGGGGGGGGGACUGUGCCUCCUGUGCAGCCACAGUUGCCUGAGGCAGCCUCGUCACCAUGCAGAGAGGUCUGCGGUCUGCAGGAGUCUGGACCCUCAGAGGCAAACCAGAAAAGGAACAUGUGGCAACACUGUCAGCAAGAUCUUAGAGGAAAAAAGCAUGCUUUUCAAAGCUAACCAGAAAAUCAAAGCCCUCAAUUUCUGGGCCAUUCUUGUUGGCCAUCUUUUUUUUUUUUUUCCCCCCUUCCUUUCACAUUGGAGGGAAGUGGCAGAUCCUGAAGCAUUAGACGAUUAAUAAGAGUUUGGUUCAAGUGGACACUGGUAUGUUUACAGGUGCAGCUCACAUCCAUAAUUUCUUUUGGCUUUUUUUUUUUUUUUUUUAGGGCUGCACCUGCAGCAUAUGGAAGUUCCCAGGCUAGUGGUCAAGUCAGAGCUGUCGCUGCCGGCCUGCACCACAGCUCACAGCAAUGCUGGAUCCUUAACCCACUGAGUGAGGCCAGGGGUUGAACUCAUGUAUGGAUACCAGUCAGAUUCGUUACCGCUGAGCCACGGGAACUCCCAGCAUUCAUAAUUUUAAUAAGCAUUUGAGGUGUUGGCUACCAGCAAGCCCAGUACCGUCCUCUUGGAACUCAGAUCAGAGGGCAGAUGAGCAGUCACCAGCCACAGGCAGCGGGGAGGACCCUGUGGAGUUGCCCUCACUGAGUGGCAGGGAGUGGGGGGCUUUGCACAGAGGUGGCCCAGCAGAAAGAGGUCUAGACCAAAACCCAGAAGUGAGAGAUGGGGGGAGGAACCCAGAGAACUGGAGUUGCUGGAAUGUGGGGUGAGGCUGAGCAGGUGCAAAGGAAGCAGGUCUGCAGGGGCCUCGGAAGCCACGCUAAGGGUUGGACUUCACUCUGCAGGCAUUGCCAAGCCAUUGAAACAUCUUAUCCAGGAUGGGGAGAGCGAGGCGUUUGGCAGAGAUCUUUGGCCAGCAGUCUGAGAGGGGGCUGGACGUGGAGGCUGCUUCAGUGAUGCAGAGACUGCAUCACAGUUUCUGGCUAAAAAGACCCGAGAAUCCUGCUGGUAACAGGUGGCGCUCACACCGUGCUUCCUCUGCGCCUGACCCGUCCUGAGCACAUCCGUCCUCUGAAUUAAUUGGUGGAGCCUCAGGGCAGCACUAGGAGACAGUGUGCCGUGAGGGAUCAACCUUGGCUCCUGCUCCUCAGAGGUGACCUCGAAGCCCUUGGCUUGCCCUUCCUGGUAAGUAUGCCUGUUUACCUGGGUGCCUUGGGCCUUGACAGGUAGUUUAUCUCACUCAGUGUCGGCUGGACCUCUAGAGGUGCUGGGGACUAAGGCAGGCACUUGGUGGUCAGGUGUGUGGUCAUGACCAACCCCAGUAACAACUCUGGGCCCCAGGAUUUGGGCGCGCUUCCCCGAUUAGACUGUUUUCUGUGUGUGGUCACAUCAUCUCUGGGAGCGGGAAGUGCUGUCUGUACGACUCCACUGGGCGGGGACCACUCCAGCCGCCUGCUUUCUGGGUCCCAGCCCCAUGGGCCUUUGCAUUUACAGAUUUUUUUUUUUUUUCCUGCACCCAUGGCAUAUGGAAGUUCCUGGGUUAGGAAUUGAACCUGCACUGCAGCAGUGACCCAAGCCUCUGCAGUGACAGCACUGGAUCUUUAACUCCCUGUACCACAAGGGAACUCCCCACUUGCAGAUUUUAAUCUGUAUCCUUUCAGUGUGGUGAACAGAAAUUGUUCUGAGUUCUGUGAGUUCACUGCACCUGGGAUGGGCCCUUGAACUCCUGCCACCUACUCUCCUUGGUCACAGGGUGUCUGUAGGGUUGCAGGGAGCUCACCACUCUUAACUGCUCUCUGGAUUUGUUGACUUGUUUUUGCUCUGGACGCACACCAUAUUUUUGUCUCUCCAGAUAGAUUAUUUCAACAGUCAGAAGCUUGGGCGAGGAUGAAAAAUUACUCCCUGGGCCCUCUUCUCCAGACCCGCCUCCCUAGUUCUCCUAAAGCCACCUCAGAUCAGCGCAGCGAUCCAGCUACAAAUCAGGGUGUUACCCAGACUCAGAGGAGCUACCUGACUUUCUGGAAUGGGCGGGGAAAAGCAGCCUGUGUCCAGAGCCACACGCCUCAGAAAGCACCACUGGCCAUGUGAGGAGCCCCGACCCAGAGAGACAGGUGGGCCCCUGGGCGGGGUCCUUGGGAUCAG